CUGGGAGCCGUGUUAACCGGACGCGACAGGGAUGGUGAACGCAGCGGCUUUUUCCCGUUUCACCCUGCGGCCAACGAAAUGGCAGUCGAGCAUCCAACCUGUCCGGCUC
rnacentral:sRNA from 10 species